CUGCAUCUGCCUUUCAAAUGUUCCUUCAGUACUUCUAGGGUUUAGUUAUUGCAUCUAAUUCAGAGUAAACAGCCAUUUGGGAUUGAGAACAAAGAGGAUGAAAAGAUCAGAAAUGGGGAGAAGGAAGCUGCCUUUCUCUCGUGGUCUAAAAAAUGGAAGAAAUAUGUGUGCUCGGGAAAGCUAAGUGACUCCUUGGGAAAUCUGGCUACACAGACGAUGACAAACAAAUAAAGCAGCAGCAACAAUAUUUGUGCAUCUUGAGUCUCUGCUGAUCUUCAAUUCACUGAGAGAAUCACAGCAUAGAACUUCUCUCUAUCCAGGCUACUGACAGAAGACUGCCUGUUUUACUAGGUUGUGCCAGUGCUGCUGUUUCCUGUUUGUUAUGACAACUCUACAGAACUGAACUACUACUGUAUUCAUGAAAUGUUGAUAAUGGAACAAACUGCCUAUUCCAACUUGAGAACUAAAAUUCUGCUUUUCAGACAACACAGAUGGGAGUUUCUCCAAUGUACCUUUAUAAAAACGGCCACCACCCCUACGCCACAAUGCUCCCCAUCCUUUCUUUUACCUCAGGUGCCUGGAGGGCUACAGGGAGGUUAAAGCUUUUAAGAAUCAUCAGCAAAUAUUGAUAUUUGGAAAAAAUAAAGUUUUAGUUUGAAGAGUUA